rnacentral:rRNA from 1 species
UAACACGUGGGUAACCUGCCCUGAUGAUUGGGACAACCCGAGGAAACUCGGGCUAAUACCAAAUGUGCCCCCUGGCCUCAAGGCCUCUGGGGAAAGGAAGCUUCGGCCUCCGCAUCGGGAUGGGCCCGCGGCCCAUUAGCUUGUUGGUGAGGUAAUGGCUCACCAAGGCUACGAUGGGUAGCUGGUCUGAGAGGACGAUCAGCCACACUGGGACUGAGACACGGCCCAG